rnacentral:lncRNA from 1 species
UAUGAUCAUCCAUAUUAUAUUUUAAUUUUUAAAAUCCAUCACAUAGAUUAUCCCGAUUGAGGUUUUACUGAAUUGAAAUACACUGAUACAUUAACUCCUACUUAUUUAGAGGGGUCAAUUUCAUCUUGACUCACACACCGACUUCUCAAAUACUUGACUAUGCCCAGAGACCUUUCAUUACUGAAUUAAAAAUUUUGAUAGUCCGGCUCCAAAGAAUAGUAAGUUGCUUGCAAGUCACCAUGAUGGUCUCA